ACCUUCUAUUUUGUCUGUGUAAUUUUCUAAAAGAGCUAUAUCAUCUCAGAUCAUUGGGUGAAGAUGGAUUUUGGAGGAUGAUUGAUGCCAUAGACUCCAUUCACAGUUCUCAGAUACACUUUGCUCUAUGCUAUGGACAUCAUAUCACAUCAUUGUUACUCUAUCAAACUGCUACAAAACUCAUGCAUAAUUAUUCUCACCAAAAAUAUUUUUAUUUCAUAGAAAAUAUGACUAUAACUGAGUUAGAAACCAGAGAUUUUUUUUGGCUCUUUAUUUAUAUAAAACAUCAUCAGAUAUCAGCUUACAUCAUAACAUAGCAAUG
rnacentral:lncRNA from 1 species